rnacentral:rRNA from 1 species
CCUACGUGAUGCUGCAGUGAGGAAUAUUGGGCAAUGGACGAAAGUCUGACCCAGCAACGCCGCGUGAAGGAAGAAGGCUUUCGGGUUGUAAACUUCUUUUAAGGGGGAAGAGUAGAAGACGGUACCCCUUGAAUAAGCCACGGCUAACUACGUGCCAGCAGCCGCGGUAAUACGGAGGAUCCGAGCGUUAUCCGGAUUUAUUGGGUUUAAAGGGAGCGUAGGUGGAUAUAUAAGUCAGUUGUGAAAGUUUGCGGCUCAACCGUAAAAUUGCAGUUGAUACUGUAUAUCUUGAGUACAGUAGAGGUGGGCGGAAUUCGUGGUGUAGCGGUGAAAUGCAUAGAUAUAACUUAGAACUCCGAUAGCGAAGGCAGCUUACCAAGCUGUAACUGACGCUGAUGCACGAGAGCGUGGGUAGCGAACA